GACGAACGCUGGCGGCGUGCUUAACACAUGCAAGUCGAGCGGUAAGGCCUUUCGGGGUACACGAGCGGCGAACGGGUGAGUAACACGUGGGUGAUCUGCCCUGCACUUCGGGAUAAGCCUGGGAAACUGGGUCUAAUACCGGAUAUGACCUCCUAUCGCAUGGUGGGUGGUGGAAAGAUUUAUCGGUGCAGGAGGGGCCCGCGGCCUAUCAGCUUGUUGGUGGGGUAAUGGCCUACCAAGGCGACGACGGGUAGCCGACCUGAGAGGGUGACCGGCCACACUGGGACUGAGACACGGCCCAGACUCCUACGGGAGGCAGCAGUGGGGAAUAUUGCACAAUGGGCGAAAGCCUGAUGCAGCGACGCCGCGUGAGGGAUGACGGCCUUCGGGUUGUAAACCUCUUUCAGCAGGGACGAAGCGCAAGUGACGGUACCUGCAGAAGAAGCACCGGCUAACUACGUG
rnacentral:rRNA from 1 species